GACGAACGCUGGCGGCGUGCCUAAUACAUGCAAGUAGGACGCAGUUGCGAACGGGUGAGUAACGCGUAGGUAACUGCCUAUUAGAGGGGGAUAACUAUUGGAAACGAUAGCUAAUACCGCAUACUAGUAGAUGGACCUGCGUUGUAUUAGCGAGUAGGUAGGGUAAUGGCCUACCUAGGCGACGAUACAUAGCCUACCUGUGAGGGUGAUCGGCACCACUGGGACUGGUACACGCCCCAGACUCCUACGGGAGGCAGCAGUAGGGAAUCUUCGGCAAUGGGGGGAACCCUGACCGAGCAACGCCGCGUGAGUGAAGAAGUUUUUCGGAUCGUAAAGCUCUGUUGUUAAUGAAGCGGUACUUAACCAGAAAGGGACGGCUAACUACGUGCCAGCAGCCGCGGUAAUUC
rnacentral:rRNA from 1 species